CCGACUGCUCAGACAGGUGAGGACAGCCGACUGCUCAGACAGGUGAGGACAGCCGACUGCUCUGACAGGGGAGGGCAGCCGACUGCUCAGACAGGUGAGGACAGCCGACUGCUCAGACAGGUGAGGACAGCCGACUGCUCAGACAGGUGAGGACAGCCGACUGCUCUGACAGGUGAGGACAGCCGACUGCUCUGACAGGUGAGGACAGCCGACUGCUCUGACAGGUGAGGGCAGCCGACUGCUCAGACAGGUGAGGGCAGCCGACUGCUCAGACAGGUGAGGGCAGCCGACUGCUCAGACAGGUGAGGGCAGCCGACUGCUCAGACAGGUGAGGACAGCCGACUGCUCAGACAGGUGAGGGCAGCCGACUGCUCAGACAGGUGAGGACAGCCGACAGCUCAGACAGGUGAGGGCAGCAGACAGGUGAGGACAGCCGACUGCUCUGACAGGUGAGGACAGCCGACUGCUCUGACAGGUGAGGGCAGCCGACUGCUCAGACAGGUGAGGGCAGCCGACUGCUCAGACAGGUGAGGGCAGCCGACUGCUCAGACAGGUGAGGACAGCCGACUGCUCAGACAGGUGAGGACAGCCGACAGCUCAGACAGGUGAGGACAGCCGAC